UAAUAAUAUUGUGUUCUCUUACACUUACAGCACACAUUAAACUCCGUGGUACUGAGCUUUCCAAAAGGAUUAUGAAUGGUCCAGCUCCAGCUCUAAAAGAGGAUAUAUGGAGUAAUAAAUUCCAGAGAUUUAUUUAUAAAUGUCUUCAGAAGGAUCCAGCCAAAAGACCAUUCGCAAAGGAACUCCUAUUAAACCGAUUCAUCACAUAUAAUCGAGAUGAAGACGAGGUGCAAUAUAGCAUAGCAGAGCAUAUAAAGAAAGGAGCAAAGAAAUAAGACUUUAAAGCAAAAAAGAAAUAAGACUUUCAAGCAGAAUAUUCUCUUGCAACACCUCAUUAAGAAGACUUUGUGAAGACUUAGGAAGGAAAUGGAAGAACAAUAUAUAAAUCCCAAAAUGGAUUCUACCUUUGCAAGAUCUGAAAUGUGGCUCCUUCAUUAUGUUCCCAAAAGGGAAAGGAGGGAAAGGGUUGGGAACACAAUGUAGGAGCCACAGCCCAUCUACUUUGUAUACUUUACCAAAUAUUUAUUUUUAUAAAAAUCUAUUUAAAUGU